rnacentral:rRNA from 1 species
AUUGAACGCUGGCGGCAGGCCUAACACAUGCAAGUCGAACGAGUGGCGGACGGGUGAGUAAUGUCUGGGAAACUGCCCGAUGGCGGGGGAUAACUACUGGAAACGGUAGCUAAUACCGCAUACCAUCAGAUGUGCCCAGAUGGGAUUAGCUUGUUGGUGGGGUAACGGCUCACCAAGGCGACGCUCCGUAGCUGGUCUGAGAGGAUGACCAGCCACACUGGAACUGAGACACGGCCCAGACUCCUACGGGAGGCAGCAGUGGGGAAUAUUGGACAAUGGGCGCAAGCCUGAUGCAGCCAUGCCGCGUGUAUGAAGAAGGCCUUCGGGUUGUAAAGUACUUUCGGCGGAGAGGCGGUACCCGCAGAAGAAGCACCGGCUAACUCCGUGCCAGCAGCCGCGGUAAUAC